UAGGCAGACUAAUCUACCGCCCAAUUUUGGGAGGAAAGUCCGGACACCAUAGAGAAGCAUAGCGGGUAACCCCCGUCACUUAGAAUUUCUAAGGAGGACCAGUGCAACAGAAAGAAUGUACAAUUUGGUUGUAGUGAAAUCAGGUAAACUCUAUGCGGUGCAACAUCAAGUAUACUCACAAUAGAGGAUUUCUCGUCCGAUGUGAGAGGGUGGAUGGCUUGAGUUCGCCAGUAAUGGCGUUCCUAGAUAAAUGGUAGAUCUCGACAGAAUCCGGCUUAUCGGUCUGCCUUUUUU
rnacentral:RNase_P_RNA from 1 species